CCUGGUUGAUCCUGCCAGUAGACAUAUGCUUGUCUCAAAGAUUAAGCCAUGCACGUGUAAGUACAACACGGCCGGUACAGUGAAACUGCGAAUGGCUCAUUAAAUCAGUUAUGGUUCCUUUAAUCGCUCCAUCUGUUACUUGAUAACUGUGGUAUUCUAGAGCUAAUACAUGCCCGAGACGCUGACCCUCCGGGAUGCGUGCAUUUAUCAGACCAAGACCAAUCCGGGCUCGCCCGGCCGCUUUGGUGACUCUAGAUAAACCUCGGCCGAUCGCACGUCCCCGUGACGGCGACGAUGCAUUCGGAUGUCUGGCCCUAUCAACUCGAUGGUAAAUUUCUGUGGCCACCAUGGUGACCACGGGUAACGGGGAAUCAGGGUUCGAUCGCGGAGAGGGAGCUGAGAAACGGCUAACCACAUCCAAAGGAAGGCAGCAGGCGCGCAAAUUACCACUCCCGACUCAGAGGUAGUGACGAAAAAUAACAAUACAGGACUCUUUCGAGGACCCUGAUAAUUGGAUUGAGUACACUUUAAAUCCUUUAACGAGGAUCCAUUGGAGGACAAGUCUGGUGCCAGCAGCCGCGGUAAUUCCAGCUCCAAAUAGCGUAAUAUUAAAGUUGCUGCAUUAAAAAGCUCGUAGUUGGAUCUUGGGAUGAACUGGCGGUCCGCCGCGAGGCGAGCUACCGCCUGUCCCAGCCCCUGCCUCUCGGCGCCCCUUGAUGCUUUCGACUGAGUGUCCUGGGGGUCCGAAGCGUUUACUUUGAAAAAAUUAGAGUGUUCAAAGCAGCCGGUCGCCUGAAUACUUCACUAGGAAUAAUGGAAUAGGACUCCGGUUCUAUUUGUUUGGUUUUUCGGAAACUGGGGCCAUGAUAAGAGGGACGCCGGGGGCAUUGUAUUGUGCCCGCUAGAGGUGAAAUUCGUUGACCGGCGCAAGACGAACCAAAGCGAAAGCAUUUGCCAAAUGUUUUCAUUAAAUCAAGAACGAAAGUCGGAGGUUCGAAGACGAUCAGAUACCGUCGUAGUUCUGACCAUAAACGAUGCCGACUAGCCAUCCGGCGGCGUUAUCCCAUGACCCGCCGAGCAAGCUUCCGGGAACCAAAGUCUUAGGGUCCCGGGGGAGUAUGGUUGCAAAGCUGAAACUUAAAGAAUUGACGGAAGGGCACCACCAGGAGUGAGCCUGCGGCUUAAUUUGAACUCAACACGGGAAACCUACCCGGCCUGGACACGGAAAGAAUUGACAGACUUGAUAGCUCUUUCUCGAUUCUGUGGGUGUGUGCCACCGGCAGUUCCAAUUGGUGGAGCCGAUUUGUCUGGUUAAUUCCGAUAACGACGAGACUCCUCCAUGCUAACUAGUUACAGCGACCCCAGCGGUCGGCGUACAACUUCUUAGAGGGACAAGUGGCGUUCAGCCACACGAGAUCGAGCAAUAACAGGUCUGUGAUGCCCUUAGAAUGUCCCGGGCUGCACGCGCGCUACACUGAACGGAUCAGCGUGUGUCUACCCUUCGCCGACAGGUGCGGGUAACCCUGAAACCCCGUUCGUGAUAGGGAUGGGGAUUCAAUUAUUUCCCAUGAACGAGGAAUUCCCCAGUAGUGNNNN
rnacentral:rRNA from 1 species